GCCUGGGUGGCUCAGUCGGUUAAGCAUCCGACUUUGGUUCAGGUCACGCUAUCACGGUCGGUGGGUUCGAGCCCCGCUUCGGGCU
rnacentral:tRNA from 1 species